rnacentral:snoRNA from 1 species
AACCCAUGAUGAGGGCAUCUUCUCAAUAAGUACUUGUAUCUCUCCCAUGCAUCGUAAAGAGUUUCUAAGUCCAUCUGCACAAACAAAAAUAUAUCAUUACAUAAUUU